AUGGGAUUCCGUCUGACGCGUGGGGAUCGUGAUUCUGUGUUGCAGGAGAGGCCAGCCGGGAGGAAGAGCACCUACGCGGGAGGAGAGGAGAUGGGGCUCACGUUCACCAAGCUGUUCAGCCGCCUGUUCGCGAAGAAGGAGAUGCGGAUCCUGAUGGUGGGUCUCGACGCCGCGGGAAAGACCACCAUCCUCUACAAGCUCAAGCUCGGCGAGAUCGUCACCACCAUCCCCACCAUCGGGUUCAAUGUUGAAACUGUGGAGUACAAGAACAUCAGCUUCACUGUCUGGGAUGUCGGGGGUCAGGACAAGAUCAGGCCACUGUGGAGGCAUUACUUCCAGAACACACAGGGUCUCAUCUUUGUUGUGGACAGCAACGAUAGGGACCGUGUUGUUGAAGCAAGGGAUGAGCUCCACAGGAUGCUGAAUGAGGAUGAGUUACGUGAUGCUGUGCUGCUUGUGUUUGCUAACAAGCAAGAUCUUCCAAAUGCCAUGAAUGCUGCUGAGAUCACUGAUAAGCUUGGCCUGCACUCCCUUCGCCAGCGACACUGGUACAUCCAGAGCACUUGUGCUACAACAGGGGAGGGACUGUAUGAAGGCCUGGACUGGCUGUCCAGCAACAUUGCCAACAAGUCCUAA
rnacentral:rRNA from 1 species